AUGGAGACCUUUUUGAAAGAGGUUGAGUUUGGUCCUAUUAAACAUAAGAGCACUAUGGAGCAUAAUUUCAUUGUGGAGUGCAGGGGUGAAGCUGAUGAGGAAGAAGAUACGCUGUGGUACUUGUCAAGAGUGUACGAAUAUCCCGAAGAGCACAAUAAGAGGAAGACGAAAAGAUGGGGGGGGGGUGAUAGAUCAGUGGGUCAAUUUCAAUGGGGGAGGCAAGCUUUGGCUGAUUGUGGUCUUAGGGAUAUGGGUUUUCAAGGAUACAAAUUUACAUGGACCAACAGAAGGCAUGAUAUUAAUAAUAUCUAA